CUGACACGAAGCUCAGCAGGACAAGGACAGUCGAGGCUGAGGACACAGUAGGAGGAAAAUCCAUGGUGAAAAAUGUGAGCCUCGAAACACACAGCUGAGUACUGUGAGCCAAGAGGGAAAUAAGAAGGCACCUUCUAGGAAGCACCAUGACUGCUGAAGAGGAAGACCCUGUUGGCCUCCUGCUCUGAUUCCAGAGCUGACUCUAGGCUUCCAAGGACAGGGCUAGCAGCUGGGACAGAGGUCACCCUCAGUUUUGACAUGCGGCUUAUUCUUUGCUGAGUUACUAUACCAUGACAACAUCCUACAGACAUUUCUGAAUGGCCUCUGGUACAGCCAGGCCCAGAACCCGUCCUGUCUAAAUGUGUCCUCCUGGGCUACACUCCUAUCCAUCACAUCUAAGCUGGACCAACCCCAAAGCUUUUGAAAGACUCUGGAGAU